rnacentral:rRNA from 1 species
GACAGAGGAUGCAAGCGUUAUCCGGAAUGAUUGGGCGUAAAGCGUCUGUAGGUGGCUUUUUAAGUCCGCCGUCAAAUCCCAGGGCUCAACCCUGGACAGGCGGUGGAAACUACCAAGCUGGAGUACGGUAGGGGCAGAGGGAAUUUCCGGUGGAGCGGUGAAAUGCGUAGAGAUGUGGAGGAACACCGAUGGCGAAGGCAGCCCCCUGGGUCAAGAUUGACGCUCAUGCACGAAAGGCGUGGGGAGCAAACAGG